CCGAGUGAGGGCCCUCCGGGUCCAACCUCCCACCCGUGUUUAACGAACCUUGUUGCUUCGGCGGGCCCGCCUCACGGCCGCCGGGGGGCACCCUGCCCCCGGGCCCGCGCCCGCCGAAGACACCUGUGAACGCUGUCUGAAGUUGCAGUCUGAGACACUAGCUCAAUCAGUUA
rnacentral:misc_RNA from 1 species